GUGGCUGUAGCUCAGUGGCAGAGCGCUUGCCUAGUAUGUAUGAGGUACUGGGUUUGAUCCUUAGCGCCACA
rnacentral:tRNA from 1 species